rnacentral:rRNA from 1 species
CCACGGAAGUUUUCAGAGAUGAGAAUGUGCCUUCGGGAACCGUGAGACAGGUGCUGCAUGGCUGUCGUCAGCUCGUGUUGUGAAAUGUUGGGUUAAGUCCCGCAACGAGCGCAACCCUUAUCCUUUGUUGCCAGCGGUCCGGCCGGGAACUCAAAGGAGACUGCCAGUGAUAAACUGGAGGAAGGUGGGGAUGACGUCAAGUCAUCAUGGCCCUUACGACCAGGGCUACACACGUGCUACAAUGGCGCAUACAAAGAGAAGCGACCUCGCGAGAGCAAGCGGACCUCAUAAAGUGCGUCGUAGUCCGGAUUGGAGUCUGCAACUCGACUCCAUGAAGUCGGAAUCGCUAGUAAUCGUGGAUCAGAAUGCCACGGUGAAUACGUUCCCGGGCCUUGUACACACCGCCCGUCACACCAUGGGAGUGGGUUGCAAAAGAAGUAGGUAGCUUAACCUUCGGGAGGGCGCUUACCACUUUGUGAUUCAUGACUGGGGUGAAGUCGUAACAAGGUAACCGUAGGGGAACCUGCGGUUGGAUCAC